rnacentral:rRNA from 1 species
UAAUUGAAGAGUUUGAUCAUGGCUCAGAUUGAACGCUGGCGGCAGGCCUAACACAUGCAAGUCGGGCGGUAACAGGGAGAAGCUUGCUUCUCCGCUGACGAGCGGCGGACGGGUGAGUAAUGUAUGGGGAUCUGCCUGAUGGCGGGGGAUAACUACUGGAAACGGUAGCUAAUACCGCAUAAUGUCUACGGACCAAAGCGGGGGACCUCCGGGCCUCGCGCCAUCAGAUGAACCCAUAUGGGAUUAGCUUGUAGGUAAGGUAACGGCUUACCUAGGCGACGAUCCCUAGCUGGUCUGAG